rnacentral:miRNA from 1 species
AUGUUUGAUAUUCGGUUG